UUUGCUACGAGUUGUGUUAAGCUAAAAUAAUUUGUGUUAUAUAUUUUGCAAUUUGUUUAAACAAUUAAAAAUAAUUCUAAACUCUGAUGACUUCCAUCUUCAUCAGUACAAAGAGGGUAAUAUUAGACAACUUUACAAAAGCUAGGUCAUGGAACAAAACAUUGCUUUCCCAGUAAUUCCAUAAGGUAUCCAAGUAUUCAAUUGCAUGCCCCGAAUUUCACAGACGUCCUACAUUAGGAUCCAUCAGGAAUGAAGAUAUUUGUGCCAAUACAUGGUGUUAUCUUAUCAAGGAAGAGGGAAUGGUCUAACUACGUGGAAUGAUUGGAUGAUGGUUAUGCUGAGAUGGAUUUCGAAUAAGUUCAUUGGAACCUGAGUUUGACUGUCUUUCAUUCAAGGGAAGAAAAUGGGUCAUCCUAUGAGUCUGUGCCGAGCGAUUUCAUUUCUACUUUUUAAUUUUUAUAACAAUCUGUAAAAAAGUGGGUUUAUUGAGCUGAAGUUUUGAUUUGUAAUGUGUCAAUUUUGUAUUACCUAUUUUAGUUCAUGCUUUCCUUUUGGGCGGCUAAGU